CGCUGAACUUAAGCAUAUCAAUAAGCGGAGGAAAAGAAACCAACAGGGAUUGCCUUAGUAACGGCGAGUGAAGCGGCAAAAGCUCAGAUUUGAAAUCUGGCGUCAUAUUGGCGUCCGAGUUGUAAUCUGUAGAGGAGUAUUCGAGUGUGGCGUUGGCUUAAGUUCCUUGGAACAGGACGUCAUAGAGGGUGAGAACCCCGUUAACGGCCUUUGUCUUAUGCUCAUGUGAAUCUCCUUCAACGAGUCGAGUUGUUUGGGAAUGCAGCUCUAAAUGGGUGGUAAAUUCCAUCUAAAGCUAAAUACUGGCAAGAGACCGAUAGCGCACAAGUAGAGUGAUCGAAAGAUGAAAAGAACUCUGAACAGAGAGUUAAAUAGUACGUGAAAUUGUUGAAAGGGAAGCACUUGCUACCAGACACGCCUGUAGUUGAUCAGCCUUCAUUCUUGAUGGUGCACUCGGCUACAUGGUGGGUCAGCAUCAGUUGUGGCGGUGGGAUAAAGACCUGGGGAAUGUGGCUUCUCUCGGGAAGUGUUAUAGCCCCGGGUGCAAUACCGCCUGCUGCGACUGAGGACCGCGCCCGCAAGGG
rnacentral:rRNA from 1 species